UGGGGAAUAUUGCACAAUGGGCGCAAGCCUGAUGCAGCCAUGCCGCGUGUGUGAAGAAGGCCUUCGGGUUGUAAAGCACUUUCAGCGAGGAGGAAGGUGGUGGACUUAAUACGUUCAUCAAUUGACGUUACUCGCAGAAGAAGCACCGGCUAACUCCGUGCCAGCAGCCGCGGUAAUACGGAGGGUGCAAGCGUUAAUCGGAAUUACUGGGCGUAAAGCGCACGCAGGCGGUUUGUUAAGUCAGAUGUGAAAUCCCCGGGCUCAACCUGGGAACUGCAUUUGAAACUGGCAAGCUAGAGUCUCGUAGAGGGGGGUAGAAUUCCAGGUGUAGCGGUGAAAUGCGUAGAGAUCUGGAGGAAUACCGGUGGCGAAGGCGGCCCCCUGGACGAAGACUGACGCUCAGGUGCGAAAGCGUGAGGAGCAAACAGGAUUAGAUACCCUGGUAGUCCACGCUGUAAAACGAUGUCGAUUUUGGAGGUUGUGCCCUUGAGGCGUGGCUUCCGGAGCUAACGCGUUAAAUCGACCGCCUGGGGAGUACGGCCGCAAGGUUAAAACUUAAAUGAAUUGACGGGGUCU
rnacentral:rRNA from 1 species